UAACGGCGAGUGAAGAGGGAAGAGCCCAAGAUUGAAAGCUGGCGUCUUCGGCGUCCGCAUUGUAAUCUCAAGAAGUGUUUUCCGCUUCGGACCAUGCCUAAGUCCCUUGGAAAAGGGCAUCAUAGAGGGUGAUAAUCCCGUUCAUGGCAUGGAGCGCCCGAAGCUUUGUGAUACGCUUUCUAAGAGUCGAGUUGUUUGGGAAUGCAGCUCAAAAUGGGUGGUAAAUGCCAUCUAAGGCUAAAUAUUGGGGAGAGACCGAUAGCGAACAAGUACAGUGAUGGAAAGAUGAAAAGAACUUUGAAAAGAGAGUUAAACAGUACGUGAAAUUGCCAAAAGGGAAGGGUAGGAGGUCAGAGAUGCGUCUUGGAAUUCAGCCUUGCUUCUGCUUGGUGUUUUUUCCAUUUUGCAGGCCAACGUCGGUUUUGGGCACUGGAGAAGGGUGGAAGGAACGUGGCACCUCUCGGGGUGUGUUAUAGCCUUCUACUGGAUACAGCGACCGAGACCGAGGACAGCAGCGUACUCGCAAGAGCGGGCCUUCGGGCACCUUUACGCUUAGGGCGUUGGCAUAAUGGCCCUCU
rnacentral:rRNA from 1 species